rnacentral:rRNA from 1 species
GAUGAACGCUAGCUACAGGCUUAACACAUGCAAGUCGAGGGGUAACGAGAGGAAAGCUUGCUUUCCUUGUCGACGACCGGCGCACGGGUGAGUAACGCGUAUCCAACCUGCCCCCAACUAGGGAAUAACCUUGCGAAAGUAAGACUAAUACCCUAUAAUUUCCUCAGAUGUCAUCUGACGAGGAAUAAAGAUUUAUCGGUUGUGGAUGGGGAUGCGUCUGAUUAGCUUGUUGGCGGGGUAACGGCCCACCAAGACAACGAUCAGUAGGGGUUCUGAGAGGAAGGUCCCCCACAUUGGAACUGAGACACGGUCCAAACUCCUACGGGAGGCAGCAGUGAGGAAUAUUGGUCAAUGGGCGAAAGCCUGAACCAGCCAAGUAGCGUGCAGGAUGACGGCCCUAUGGGUUGUAAACUGCUUUUAUACAGGAAUAAAGUUAGCCACGUGUGGUUAUUUGUAGGUACUGUAUGAAUAAGGACCGGCUAAUUCCGUGCCAGCCGCCGCGGUAA